UACUUUUUGUGUAUCCAUUCU
rnacentral:piRNA from 1 species